rnacentral:misc_RNA from 1 species
GGAUAUCGUUGCAGAAAUUCUUAUUGAAGGUAUAUCACGAAUAAAGAGAUGUUCAGAUGAAGGACGCGCUCUCAUGUCGUUAGAUCUUCAGGUGUUAAUCAAUGGCUUGCAACAUUUAGUUUCAGCGAAUGUGAAGCCUAAAUUACAAAUGGUUGAGACCUUCAUUAAGGCGUACUACCUCCCAGAAACUGAAUAUGUACACUGGGCACGUGCUCACCCGGAAUACAGCAAGAGCC